UACGUAGGCAGCGAGCGUUGUUCGGAGUUACUGGGCGUAAAGGGUAUGUAGGCGGUUAUUUAAGUUUGGUGUGAAAUCUCCCGGCUCAACCGGGAGGGUGCGCCGAAUACUGAAUGACUUGGAGUGCGGGAGAGGUGAGUGGAAUUCCUGGUGUAGCGGUGAAAUGCGUAGAUAUCAGGAGGAACACCGGUGGUGUAGACGGCUCACUGGACCGUAACUGACGCUGAGACACGAAAGCGUGGGUAGCAAACAGG
rnacentral:rRNA from 1 species